rnacentral:rRNA from 1 species
UACGGAGGGAGCUAGCGUUGUUCGGAAUUACUGGGCGUAAAGCGCACGUAGGCGGACUUGUCAGUCAGGGGUGAAAUCCCGAGGCUCAACCUCGGAACUGCCUCCGAUACAGCAAGUCUCGAGUCCGGAAGAGGUGGGUGGAAUUCCUAGUGUAGAGGUGAAAUUCGUAGAUAUUAGGAAGAACACCAGUGGCGAAGGCGGCCCACUGGUCCGGUACUGACGCUGAGGUGCGAAAGCGUGGGGAGCAAACAGG